GUGCUGAUGGCUACGUCGUACCGCCGCUUCCAGUCCUUGGCUUUGAACGGCUGAUACAGGAAAAAAUACCUCUGAAUGCUAAUGCAGGCAGAAGACACCUGAAAAGUUGCACUUUGAUGGAGGCCAGGGAGCCGCUUUGAACCUUGGAGCCAAAAGGUGAUAAAACCCAACCUGUGGAAAUGCAGGUGAUGUCCCAUCCCCACCACCCCGAGCAAAUGUUACACCGUGAUUGACGAACAGGAGAGCUCCGGCAGCUGAAGAAGCAGGACAUGCACACGCAGCAGGAUGCCGGCAGCCCUCUUGGAGCUCUUGCUCCAGGCUGGCGAGGGCUGUCCCGCGGAUGGACUUCCAUCAUGGAUACAGUUCCCCUGGCUGGUGAUGUUCACACUGGAGCCAGGCUCCCAGCCCUUUCACUUGACCCAGAAACCAUGCCCUUGAACAAAAAUCACACUCUUACUUCACACAUCCUACUGCUCCAGCCUGCUGCUGAAGUCCUCUCCUACAUAAAUGUGCGGGAAGCCGGAUUUGACAUACUGACUCACCUUUGGUGCGGUUCCCUUUCGAUUUACUUUAAGAAAUUUCAGAUUCAGGGGCCACCCACUAUGAAUCCUGUCUCGAAGUGCCAAAUUGCAUAUGUGCUAUAUUGCUGUGCUCCCGUCAGAGGUGAGCUGCCAGUGCAAGUGAAUGCAAGCCCAUCAGUAAACCACCUUUUACAAAGUAGAGUUUAAAACCUUCACUCCCUGAAGUAAGUUAAGUGUUAAUCCAGACCAGUGACUGCAGUCUGAAUUAUGAAUUAAAACUGCCUCAGGGUUCUCAUUAAGAAAAAACAAGCCCAAGCAAUCUUGCUGGUUUUGUCAUAUUGUGUCCCACUGACUAAUAUUAAUUAAUUUCCUACUGUUGCAAUUCAGUCAAAGAGCAUUGGAUGGCACAAAGACAGGCAGCAUGUGGAUUUUUUUUAUGGUAAUAUAAAUCACCGUUAGAAAAAACAGAUUUGCAAGUUUCCCUUACUGUCAAGUAUGAUUUUAAAAGAAAAGAUAUUCCCUGAGAAAUCAGGCAAAAGAAGGAAAUUGUACCUAGGAAUGACACCGGAGAACAGUUGGAGACCUGCUAAUUGCCCACGCUCUAGCAUUUUGCUUUCUCUAGCAACAGCAACUUCAUGCAGCCGCUGUUUCAACUCCUCCGUGUGUUCAUACAGAGGAUUGGCGUGCAAGGAGGGCUGCUGUUUUUUCAAGCCUCAAAAGUGCCACAAAUCUCCUCCCGGCAAGAGCCAACCCCUAAGAAAAAGCCCGAGGAGCUCAACGUUUUUUCAUAGGAAGCAGCAUAGGCUCGUUAACGAGGGUUCUAGAUCGCAAAGAGAGAGCUUAAAAGCAGCCUUACCUUU